rnacentral:rRNA from 1 species
ACUGUUUGGACGAGGGGCCCCUCUCGGGUUACCGAAUUCAGACAAACUCCGAAUGCCAAUUAAUUUAACUUGGGAGUCAGAACAUGGGUGAUAAGGUCCGUGUUCGAAAGGGAAACAGCCCAGACCACCAGCUAAGGUCCCAAAAUAUAUGUUAAGUGGAAAAGGAUGUGGCGUUGCCCAGACAACUAGGAUGUUGGCUUAGAAGCAGCCAUCAUUUAAAGAGUGCGUAAUAGCUCACUAGUCGAGUGACACUGCGCCGAAAAUGUACCGGGGCUAAACAUAUUACCGAAGCUGUGGAUUGUCCUUUGGACAAUGGUAGGAGAGCGUUCUAAGGGCGUUGAAGCAUGAUCGUAAGGACAUGUGGAGCGCUUAGAAGUGAGAAUGCCGGUGUGAGUAGCGAAAGACGGGUGAGAAUCCCGUCCACCGAUUGACUAAGGUUUCCAGAGGAAGGCUCG